UGGGCCGCGGAACACGGGGGAGCCCUGCGGGCGAAACAGCCGUAGGAGUCGCGCGCGCGCUACCGAGCAUUUCCCCCGCGGGCCGCCCUCCCGUUGCCCUCGUCGCCUCCGCCUCCAUGUGUCCCCCUGCCGGCGAGGUCGCUGCCAGAUCCCGCGGCGCCGACCGCAGAACCAGCGCUCCCCUUCCGCUCCAUAGGUCACCCUCCGUGCUGCACUCCUACCUUUCCUACUGGCUGAUGUAUACUCCUCAAAUAAAGGCUCCAGGUGUAUGAUUUGAGCCAGUUGUGCUUCGUUCAACCAUCCAUCAUGUGGUGUCCAAUUUGUAUCCACUUUGCCAGGCUAUCGACAGAUCCCCGUUACUAUCAGGAAGGAAAGGUAAACUUGGCAAUAAUGAUUUCAUUGCUGAUUUGCUGCAGGUAGAAAGAUAGUCCUCGCCUUUUUUCAAAAGAAACUGUUGUCUGACAAUAGCAGCACAUGAAAAUUCAAAGGUUGAACAAUCAGACAGGAAAAUAACAGUUUCUGGCUUCACGCGUUACAAUACGUGGUUCAAACUGAACUCGCAGUUGUCAAUCCAUUUGGCUUUCAGCAGAAUAGGUAGGCAUCAGACCUGGACAGUAGAGACUUCGCAAAUUUAUCUCCAGUCAUCGGAGAGCAUGACCACUAGUGCUCUGAAUUCUGAAGCUACAGCAAUAAGCUUGCCAAUCACAAUGACAAAGGAUGAGCUGCACCAUGUGAAUCCUCUUGAGCAAGCGUUUUUUUUUUUUUUUUUGUCAGUGCUUGCUUCCCUGGCGCGUUUGGGUAACUAUUUUACUUUGAAAACAUUUCACCUGUCGAUUACUAACUGGCUUACUUAUCCAUUACAUGUGAGAUGCUCCC